AUGGCGCACGGCGGCCAGCCCCGCCGCGCCCCGGCCGCACGCCGCCCCAAGCCUUCGGCGUCUGCCCCCGCCCCCGACCGGAAGCGGAAGCGCGCCGCCACCUUCAAGACCGCUACGCUCAAGAACCAGAUCCGCUCCACCGAGCGCCUCCUCCGCAAGGACCUUCCUAAUGACAUGAGGGUGGCUCAAGAGAAGAAAUUGGAAGAACUAAAGAAACGGCAAGAGAAUCAGACUCAAGAGGCCAUGCAACGAACAAUACAGUUGAGGGAUAGAAAGAUAAAGUUUUUUGAGAGGCGAAAGAUUGAGAGGAUGAUAAGGCGUCUUGACAAACAGCAACGGAUAAAUGCUGAUGAGGCCAGCAACAAGCUGGCAACAUUGCGAGAAGAUCUUGAAUAUGUUAGAUUUUUCCCAAAGGAAGAAAAAUAUUUCCCUUUAUUCACCGGGGGUAAUACCCCAGAUAUUGUGGAGAAAAGGAAUACAUGGCGUAAACAGAUCAAGGAGAAUCUCAUCGCUGCUGCAGCAAAUGGAAAGGACUUAGAAGAGACAGCCAGUGACGAUGACACCUUGGAUGUGAGUGAAGAUGACUUCUUUAUGUCUGGAAGUUCAAGUGAUGAAGAGGCAGAUGAUGAGCUUACCGAUAAAAGUACAAAAGAACCUGGUGCUUCAGGUAGGGCAGCGUCUGGUAUGUCGAGUGAUGAAAAGAACCAGCGGCAGAGAGAUGCUCGAGUGCUUAUGCCACCACCUCGCUCAUUACCACCUAAUAGAGCUAGAUCUGCGGAUAAACGUGCGGUGUCCAGCUCUGGCAAUGCUUCGACCAGCACAAGCGGUAACUCGUUCAAAAAUAGAAGAGCAUCAAAUCUUUCUGGAGAUCACAACAGCACUCUGAGUUCAAAUUCUGAUGCUCAUAAGCCACGCCGCAAAAGGAGACCGAAGAAGAAGAAGCAGGCAUGA
rnacentral:rRNA from 1 species